UCCACAGUGACACACUUCCACACCUACUCCAACAAGGCCUCACCUCCUAAUAGUGCCAUUCCCUUCGAGGGCCAUUUUCUUUUAGCCCACCACAGGGCCACUGCCCCCUGAAGUUGGAGAGACUGACACAGUGCCACAGUGAGAGCUGCCAGGAAAGGCUGCGCUGCCACUGAAACUGAUGAACUGUUGAUGCUCAGACCUCCAGGGGACUCGAUAGUUUCAAGGCCCCCCACACUUACUUUCGUGGUUUCACUCCCAGGUUCUGACUGUGAAUAUUUGAGGAAUCUCUCCAGGGUCUCCUGCCAGGAGAGGCGUUGGGGAGGGGGACAUUCAAAGUUUCUUAGCAAGAGAAACUGUUUAAUUAGAACCUAACAUGAUGGGGUUUGGUCAGAACCUAACUGACCCAGGGCAAGAGAAACGUGCGAUUUCAGCCCCCAUUUAAAGGAAAAAAAUGAAGGAGAGGAAAGAGGCAUGUGUAAGGGCCAUGCUCAAAGGUGUAGUUGUCUGAAAGAUUAUGACCUAAUCGUAGGAGCAGAGAAUGUGGCCCAUCUCCCUUGCCUUUCCAGCACGCACUAAGUACCUGCUCUAACAAUGUCCUUCAUCUUGUCUGCCUAUAAAGAAACAUUCCCAAGACAUAUGAAGACACAACUUGAAGAAACUGAAACACGGCAGAAUCAAGACCCAGAUAUGACAGGAAUAUUGAAAUUAUCAGGACUGUAAAGCACCUGUGAAUAGUGUGUUGAAGCUUUAAUAAAGCAGAUGCAUGGCAUGCAAGAGGAGAUGGGCAGUAGAAACAGAGAGAUGGAAAGGGGAAAAAAUGCAAGGCAUAGAAGCCGUAGUGGUGGAAGCAGUGGCCACCUAUGACAGGGCUCUUAGCGCACUGCACACAGCUGAGGGAAGAAUCCUGGAUCCCAAGGAAAUCAUGACAGAAACCUCGAACCCAGUGAGCAAAGGGAACUUUAAGGGAAAAGAACAGACUACCCAGAAACCGUGAGACAAAUACAGAAACUGUAACACACGAUGGAAAUAAUGGAAAAUCAAAGAAAAAGAAGACGAAACACUUGAAAUAAUAUGAUUGAGAAUACCCAGAAGUUAAUGCCAGAUGCUGAACCACAGAUCCGGAAAGUUCAGAGAAUGCCAAUCAAGAUGAGUGACAGAAAAACUACAUGUAGGUUCAUAACGUUUAAACUACAGUUCAAAGAGAAAGUGGAAAUCCUGCAAGAAGACAGAGGAAUAAAAAAUACUUCCUCAGACAGACAGAACUGGAGAGUUUGUCACCAGCAAAAAGACUUUGAACACAAUGUUAAGAGAUGUUCUUUAGGGGGCUGGGGCCAUGGCGGCUCAUGCCGGGUGAUGCUAGGCGUAUCCCUGGGCUCCAGGCUGUUGUAGGGUGUGGGUGGCAGGCACAGGCAGUUAGGAGUGUGAGGUGUCAGCCAAUGUGGUGCAGCCGUGACGGUGGGGGAGAGCAUGGUCUGGGUGGACCCCGAGAAGACAGGAUUGGACAUCGAGAAGGAUCAGAUUAUUGAGAUGGCCUGUCUGAGAACUGACUCUGAUCUUAACAUUUUGGCUAAAGGUCCCAACCUGAUGAUGGAGCAGCUGGAGGAGCUGCUGGACAGCAUGUCAGAUUGGUGCAAGGAGCAUCAUGGGACGUCUGGUCUCACCACGGCCGUGAGGGAGAGUAUACUUACACUGCAGCAGGCAGAGUAUGAAUUUCUGUCCUUUGUACGACAGCAGACUCCUCUGGGGCUCUGCUCACAGUCAGGGAAUUCAGUCCAUGCAGAUAAGAAGUUUCCUGACAAAUCUAUCCCAGUCCAUGAACCAUCUUCACCAUAGGACCAUUGACGUGAGCACUGUUACAGAGCCGUGCAGACGCUGGUCUCCAGGAGAGUUUGGAUUUGCUCCGAAGAAGGCUGCUUCUCACAGGGCCCUCGGUGGCAUCAGUGAAAGCUCUAAAGAGCUUCGGUUUUACCGAAAUAAAGUCAAGAAGAAAGACAGAUGAAAAGAAGAGGAAAAUGAUAGAGAACGGGGAAAAGAAGAGGAAAAUAAUAGAGAACGGAGAAAUGAGAAGACUGUGAAUUAAGCGCUCGCCUUAUAUUUAAGGCAACUUUUAUAGCAUGGUUCGUACAUCGGUUCACUACGAGAAGACUGUGAGCUGAUGCCAGUUCUCAAGCUGCAUAGUCUACCUGGUUCUCCCGAAGCCACUCUCCUGCUGACAACUCGGCAGAACACCCUUUCUGUCUUUUUUAAAUUUAUUCAUUUAUUUAUUUAUUUUAUGUGCAUUGAUAUUUUGCCUGCAUGUAUGUCAGUGUGAGGGUUUCUGA